rnacentral:rRNA from 1 species
CCUACGGGAGGCAGCAGUGGGGAAUUUUGGACAAUGGGCGCAAGCCUGAUCCAGCCAUGCCGCGUGUGUGAAGAAGGCCUUCGGGUUGUAAAGCACUUUCGGCCGGAACGAAAUCGCGCGGGCUAUUACCCCGCGUGGAUGACGGUACCGGAAGAAGAAGCACCGGCUAACUACGUGCCAGCAGCCGCGGUAAUACGUAGGGUGCGAGCGUUAAUCGGAAUUACUGGGCGUAAAGGGUGCGCAGGCGGCGUCGCAAGUCAGGCGUGAAAUCCCCGGGCUUAACCUGGGAAUUGCACUUGAAACUACGAUGCUGGAGUAUGGCAGAGGGAGGUGGAAUUCCACGUGUAGCGGUGAAAUGCGUAGAGAUGUGGAGGAACACCGAUGACGAAGGCAGCCUCCUGGGCCAAUACUGACGCUCAUGCACGAAAGCGUGGGGAGCAAACAGGAUUAGAUACCCUGGUAGUCCACGCCCUAAACGAUGAUGACUAGUUGUUGGAGGAGUUAAAUCCUUUAGUAACGCAGCUAACGCGAGAAGUCAUCCGCCUGGGGAGUACGGUCGCAAGAUUAAAACUCAAAGGAAUUGACGG